rnacentral:rRNA from 1 species
GGCUCAGAACGAACGCUGCGGGCGUGCUUAACACAUGCAAGUCGAACGCGAAAGGGACUUCGGUCCUGAGUAAAGUGGCGCACGGGUGAGUAACGCGUAGAUAACCUGUCUUCAUGUCUGGAAUAAUACGCCAAAGGGGUACUAAUACCGGAUAUUCUUGCUUUUCAUAAGUUAUGCAAGCAAAGGUGGCCUCUGCAUAUGCUACUGCAUGAAGAGGGGUCUGCGUACCAUUAGCUAGUAGGUGGGGUAAUGGCCUACCUAGGCGACGAUGGUUAGCGGGUCUGAGAGGAUGAUCCGCCACACUGGCACUGGAACACGGGCCAGACUCCUACGGGAGGCAGCAGUGAGGAAUAUUGCGCAAUGGGGGAAACCCUGACGCAGCGACGCCGCGUGAGUGAGGAAGGCCUUCGGGUCGUAAAGCUCUGUCAAGAGGAAAGAAGUGUACAAUGGCUAAUACCUGUUGUAUUUGACGGUACCUCUAAAGGAAGCACCGGCUAACUCCGUGCCAGCCGCCGC